rnacentral:siRNA from 1 species
ACUUACCUCUGGAGCUUAAAUGGA